rnacentral:rRNA from 1 species
UACGUAGGGGGCAAGCGUUGUCCGGAUUUAUUGGGCGUAAAGAGCGUGUAGGCGGCUAGAUAGGUCCGUUGUGAAAACUCGAGGCUCAACCUCGAGACGUCGAUGGAAACCAUCUGGCUAGAGUCCGGAAGAGGAGAGUGGAAUUCCUGGUGUAGCGGUGAAAUGCGUAGAUAUUGGGAGGAACACCAGUGGCGAAGGCGGCUCACUGGACCGGUACUGACGCUGAUGCGCGAAAGCGUGGGGAGCAAACAGG